CUAGAGAGAACCACCUCAUGUUAGUGUAGAUAGAACCAGUAUAGAUCUAGACCACCUAGAGAGAACCACCUCAUGUUAGUGUAGAUAGAACCAGUAUAGAUCUAGACCACCUAGAGAGAACCACCUCAUGUUAGUGUAGAUAGAACCAGUAUAGAUCUAGACCACCUAGAGAGGAACCACCUCAUGUUAGUGUAGAUAGAACCAGUAUAGAUCUAGACCACCUAGAGAGAACCACCUCAUGUUAGUAUAGAUUGAACCAGUAUAGAUCUAGACCACCUAGAGAGGAACCAUCUCAUGUUAGUGUAGAUUGAACCAGUAUAGAUCUAGACCACCUAGAGAGAAACCACCUCAUGUUAGUGUAGAUAGAACCAGUAUAGAUCUACACAACCUAGAGAGAAACCACCUCAUGUUAGUGUAGAUAUAACCAGUAUAGAUCUAGACCACCUAGAGAGAAACCACCAGGUGUCCCAAAGUCUUAAAGAAACAAACCAACCAAUCAACUGACUGAGACCAUUUUACUAACUAGUCAGUUAUAGAAGCUAGGAGGGGUUUGAUGAUAAUGAAGACAGUGAGGUUUCAGAUUGUGUUGUAGGAGCAUUAUAGGUUGGUUGCUGUAACGUUGCAGGGUGGUUGUAGGAGGGUUUGGUCUGCGAGAGACUGUAAACGUCCUGAUCCUUUACAUUAUCAGGGUUAGAGGUCAGGCUAACACAACGUCCUUAACUCAUCCUUUUCAGGGUCAGGGGUUAAAGGUCAGGGAUUGAGCACAAUAAUCAGAAUAUUAAAUAUUUUUGUGUCUAAGGAGAUCAAAUGUUAAUUUGACUGAUUUAAAAAAUGCAGUGUCUUCAAACCCUUCUGACAGACAACACAGAAAGAUGUUUACCAACACACAAUUAUUACACACACUGGUUUAUACACUGAUUACAUGUAUUAAUGGUUUAUAAACUGUAUUAAUGGUUUAUAGCACACUAUAAUGGUUCAUAAACACUCUACGGCGGUAAGAACGCGUAAUACUCAUUUUUACUAUUGCACUCUAUUACAACCUACCAACUCUGAAAGAAAGAGAAAACCAAACCAACUGUAGACGUGAUAGAAGGUGCUGUCUGACUGGGCUUGGUGUACAUACUGUAACAUACAGUCUGGUUGAAGAUUUAUUAUCAUAUUAUAUUAUGACUCUGUCCUUUAUGAGAUCGCUCUGCUUGCUUGACUGAUGAACCUUGGGCUGUUCCCAAUGGGCCCCUAUUCACUAUGUAGUACACUACCCAUAGGGCUCUGGUCUAAAGUAGUGCACUAUAUAGGGCCCUGAUCUAAAGUAGUUCACUAUAUAGGGAAUAGGGUGCCAUUUGGGAUGUAUUUUGUGUUGUUUACUGUAGUGGACCCUAUAUAGCAGUGCACUACUUCAACCAGAGCUUUCUAUAAAUAGGGAACAGGGAGUCAUUGGGGAUGCGACCCGUGGUUUCACAUUAUCUUACUACUGGGUGUCCCAAUAGCUCCCUGUUCACUAUAUACUAGUGCACUAUGUAGGGAAUAGGGGACCCAACUAUGAGAUUAUUAUUACUGGUGUUCUGUUAAUAUAUUAAACGACUGAGUUGAUUUAUUUUGCAUGAGUUUGUAACAGUUUUUACAUUUUCAAAACUUUUCAAAAAUAUUAUGAAGUAUUAAAAAAAGAUGACGUGUCUAUUUUUCUGUUUUUUCUCUGCUGGUGUUUGAGUAUUAAAUGUUUAUUUAUGAAUAUUAUGAUUAUUCUAAUUUAAGACAUUUAUUGAUCUGUGGUUUGUUAUUUUAAUGCAGACCAAAUGGCACCCUAUUCCCUAUAUAGGGCACUACUUUAGAUCAGGACCCAUAGGGAUGUGGUUAAAAGUAGGGCACUACUUUAGAUCAGGACCCAUAGGGAGGUGGUUAAAAGUAGGGCACUACUUUAGAUCAGGUCCCAUAGGGAUGUGGUUAAAAGUAGGGCACUACUUUAGAUCAGGACCCAUAGGGAUGUGGUUAAAAGUAGGACACUACUUUAGAUCAGGACCCAUAGGGAUGUGGUUAAAAGUAGGGCACUACUUAGAUCAGGACCCAGAGGGAUGAGGUUAAAAGUAGGGCACUACUUUAGAUCAGGACCCAUAGGGAUGUGGUUAAAAGUAGGGCACUACUUUAGAUCAGGACCCAUAGGGAUGUGGUUAAAAGUAGGGCACUACUUUAGAUCAGGACCCAUAGGGAUGCGGUUAAAAGUAGGCCACUACUUUAGAUCAGGACCCAUAGGGAUGUGGUUAAAAGUAGGGCACUACUUUAGAUCAGGACCCAUAGGGAGGUGGUAAAAGUAGGGCACUACUUUAGAUCAGGACCCAUAGGGAUGUGGUUAAAAGUAGGGCACUACUUUAGAUCAGGACCCAUAGGGAUGUGGUUAAAAGUAGGGCACCACUUUAGAUCAGGACCCAUAGGGAGGUGGUUAAAAGUAGGGCACUACUUUAGAUCAGGACCCAUAGGGAUGUGGUUAAAAGUAGGGCACUACUUUAGAUCAGGACCCAUAGGGAUGUGGUUAAAAGUAGGGCACUACUUUAGAUCAGGACCCAUAGGGAUGUGGUUAAAAGUAGGGCACUACUUUAGAUCAGGACCCAUAGGGAUGUGGUUAAAAGUAGGGCACCACUUUAGAUCAGGACCCAUAGGGAGGUGGUUAAAAGUAGGGCACUACUUUAGAUCAGGACCCAUAGGGAUGUGGUUAAAAGUAGGGCACUACUUUAGAUCAGGACCCAUAGGGAUGUGGUUAAAAGUAGGGCACUACUUUAGAUCAGGUCCCAUAGGGAUGUGGUUAAAAGAAGGGCACGAAAGGGAAAAGGGUGCCAUUUGGAAAGCAGUGUUUUGUUUCUACUUCCUGUCACUUUGUACAUUUGGGUUUCCUUGGCGACGUUCUUUUACGACUGCGAUUGUCACAAUGACAACACUUGUUUUAUCUAUUUCAUAAAAGAUAAACAUUGGAACUAAAUAAACUAUAAACCCUCAA
ensembl:lncRNA